CUGGCGACGAGUGGCGAACGGGUGAGUAACGCAUCGGAACGUGCCCAGUAGUGGGGGAUAGCCCGGCGAAAGCCGGAUUAAUACCGCAUACGACCUACGGGUGAAAGCGGGGGAUCGCAAGACCUCGCGCUAUUGGAGCGGCCGAUGUCAGAUUAGGUAGUUGGUGGGGUAAAGGCCUACCAAGCCGACGAUCUGUAGCUGGUCUGAGAGGACGACCAGCCACACUGGGACUGAGACACGGCCCAGACUCCUACGGGAGGCAGCAGUGGGGAAUUUUGGACAAUGGGCGCAAGCCUGAUCCAGCCAUGCCGCGUGCGGGAUGAAGGCCUUCGGGUUGUAAACCGCUUUUGUCAGGGAAGAAACGCUCUGGGCUAAUACCCCGGGGUAAUGACGGUACCUGAAGAAUAAGCACCGGCUAACUACGUGCCAGCAGCCGCGGUAAUACGUAGGGUGCAAGCGUUAAUCGGAAUUACUGGGCGUAAAGCGUGCGCAGGCGGUCUUGUAAGACAGAGGUGAAAUCCCCGGGCUCAACCUGGGAACUGCCUUUGUGACUGCAAGGCUUGAGUGCGGCAGAGGGGGAUGGAAUUCCGCGUGUAGCAGUGAAAUGCGUAGAUAUGCGGAGGAACACCGAUGGCGAAGGCAAUCCCCUGGGCCUGCACUGACGCUCAUGCACGAAAGCGUGGGGAGCAAACAGGAUUAGAUAC
rnacentral:rRNA from 1 species